AGCGAACGCUGGCGGCAGGCCUAACACAUGCAAGUCGAACGAACUCUUCGGAGUUAGUGGCGGACGGGUGAGUAACACGUGGGAACGUGCCUUUAGGUUCGGAAUAACUCAGGGAAACUUGUGCUAAUACCGAAUGUGCCCUUCGGGGGAAAGAUUUAUCGCCUUUAGAGCGGCCCGCGUCUGAUUAGCUAGUUGGUGAGGUAAAGGCUCAACAAGGCGACGAUCAGUAGCUGGUCUGAGAGGAUGAUCAGCCACAUUGGGACUGAGACACGGCCCAAACUCCUACGGGAGGCAGCAGUGGGGGAUCUUGCGCAAUGGGCGAAAGCCUGACGCAGCCAUGCCGCGUGAAUGAUGAAGGUCUUAGGAUUGUAAAAUUCUUUCACCGGGGACGAUAAUGACGGUACCCGGAGAAGAAGCCCCGGCUAACUUCGUG
rnacentral:rRNA from 1 species